GUUACAAGUUCAGUUGGACGACGGCAUCUUCGAAUACAAUUCCCCACUUUACAUCACGCGUAAACGGCUGGGUAUGAGUCCCAAAACGUUGGAGGUACAAGAUUAAUAUUAUGUUGCUGUUAGACCCAAUAAUAUUUUCUGUAUUUGAUGGAACACUAACUCUGCUAAGGAACGAAACAAUACCAUUCAAGACUUUCCACAACUCAAGAAAACUUCAAAUUCCUAGAAUCUAACAAAUAAAUAAGAACUCGAAAAGCAAACCUGGGGUGGAAGAAAACCGAAGGAUGACAUGCCGAGAGCAACUCGUCGUUUUGACAACCUGAACUAGGAACCUACUCAGAGCUAAUCCAGGGCUACCUGUGCUAGCUGUCACUAAAUUUAGCUGUAAUAGAUUGAAGAGAAGGUAGCUACUCAACACCACUCACCGCCAACUCUUGGGCUACUCUUUUAUCAACGAAUAGUGUGAUUGGCCGCAACAUUAUAACGCCUCCACGGCUGAAAGGGCGAGCGUAUUCGAGAAAGGGGACAACACGAAAAACGAACAAAGUCAAGCUGAGCUUCUUUCUGUGUCCCUGGCAAGAAUCGAACGCCGGAUUUCAAUGUUGGAACUCAGUAAACUAACCGCUGUCCCACGGAGAAGAGAACGUAAGAGAAAGUUAGAUGCAGAUUUGUUGUGAUACUGAUUUUCAUUCUGACGCUUAGUUUUCCAAAUGAUUUUUACAAAGUUUUUAAGCAGCCAAAUGAUCAGCUCUUUAUACCUUUGUUGAUAUUAACUUACAAGUUCAUAAUCCGUAAAAUGUGAAAGAGAAAGACGGAUCUAUUUUUAAACAAUAUUCAUAGAACACGGUCUUACCGGAUGUAUAAUAAGUUUUAUAUGUAUAGGUUUAAAAUUUUAACUCUUAAUUUGAUGGUUUAAUUUAAAGGAUAGUAGAAAAGGUGUUAGUCUAUUCUUUCUUUGUUAGAUGCUUGAUUAAAGCACAAAAAAUGUUCCAACCGUAUUAAAGAUAAUAAAAGUGGAAUUCAUCUUACAGUGAA